rnacentral:rRNA from 1 species
CCUACGGGGUGCAGCAGUGAGGAAUAUUGGUCAAUGGGCGCGAGCCUGAACCAGCCAAGUCGCGUGAGGGAGGACGGCCCUACGGGUUGUAAACCUCUUUUGCCGGGGAGCAACGGGCGUCACGUGUGGCGCCACUGAGAGUACCCGGAGAAAAAGCAUCGGCUAACUCCGUGCCAGCAGCCGCGGUAAUACGGAGGAUGCGAGCGUUAUCCGGAUUUAUUGGGUUUAAAGGGUGCGUAGGCGGAUCGUUAAGUCAGUGGUCAAAUUGAGGGGCUCAACCCCUUCCCGCCAUUGAAACUGGCGUUCUUGAGUGGAAGAGAAGUAUGCGGAAUGCGUGGUGUAGCGGUGAAAUGCAUAGAUAUCACGCAGAACCCCGAUUGCGAAGGCAGCUUACUGGACUGUAACUGACGUUGAGGCUCGAAAGCGUGGGGAGCAAACAGGAUUAGAUACCCUUGUAGUC